GAUGAACGCUAGCGACAGGCUUAACACAUGCAAGUCGAGGGGCAGUCGGGGAGUCAGCUUGCUGACUUUUGCCGGUCGACCGGCGCACGGGUGAGUAACACGUAUGCAACCUGCCCGCCACGAGGGGGAUAACCGGGAGAAAUCCCGACUAAUACCGCGUAGACCGCGAGGGGGCAUCCCGACGCGGGGAAAGGACUUAGGAUCCGGUGGACGGAUGGGGCAUGCGGCGCCAUUAGCUAGUUGGCGGGGCAACGGCCCACC
rnacentral:rRNA from 1 species